CUUUUUGGUGAAAGUUCUUUUCUUCUUUUAUAUCUUUGGAUAAGUGAAAGAUUAAAUUUGAGUAUUAUAUAAUUUAAGGGUCUAUUUUUUCUAUCGUUGGUUUCUUCUAUUAUUUGAUGAAACACAACAGGUCUGUUCUAUUGAGCUUGAAGGUAAUUUGUCCGUCACAAAAUUUGUCCCAGGAAAUUUUUCUGAAUUCUCAAUUUCACAAAAUUAAGAAUAAUUUUGAGAUAAUCAAACGAAUUGUUCACCAAUCCAAUUGAAUACACUCAAACGAAUAAAUUGGUAGUUCAGAGUUCUUCAAAAUUUCCAUUACAUCGAUCAGAAUCCAUUGAUUUCUUCAUCAUAUCUAUAGAAAAAAGCAGAGAAAUUUCAUAAGAUACUUUUAAGGAGAUUAUUACAAUUCUUAUACCCAUUGCAUUGAUGCUGAUGCUUGAUGGGAAUGGUGAAGAUACAUUAUUGGCCGAUUGUGAAGUUAAUCUGAAGAACCUCAAUUUGCUGGGAAUGGAGUUGAUGUUUUAGUUCACGACUCUACUACUGCUAAACAACUUCUGUCUGAAGUCACUGCUCUAAAGAUCUACACACACGGCAGGAGAAAAUGGUGUUGUAGAAAAUGGUUGUUCAGUCCCUGAAGCUGCUGCUUCAAGGGUGGAAGCUUUUUCAAGACUCUUAACUUCUUCCAAUUUUUAUUAGACUACAAAGAUUCAAGACAGUUCAGGGUCUUUCCGUUGGGAUCCUUUUUUUGCGCUGCAGAAAUCUGACACCUUCUUAACCACGCUUUUGCUGCUGUCAUGUCGUUGGUUGAUCUAGCGGAAGGAAAUCUCGAUAACAUUAUCGCACAUCUUCUGUGGUUCGUAUGCUAGCGGGAUGUGUUGGACUUCUUUGGUUUGAGACCUGGGGAACAUGGGCAUUGUUGGGAAUGAGGCUUGACAUGAUUUAUCAGGAGGUAUUAUAUACCCGUAAAACCUUACAUGUAUAAACAGUGGUAUGAUAAAUGUGCAAGAAAUUUAUAGGUGACUUGGGUUUCGCACAAUUUUAUGAGCAGUGCCAAGCAGAAAAUGGAGUGCAUACCAUGGGAUGGGACAGAGAUAACAAUCGUUGUUGUGCAACAUCAUUUCCUUCAAUUGGCUUGAGCUGCGAAUGUUUUCAAGGUUUAACAAAACUGAACUUUUGUGUUUCUGUUGUUGGUUCCUUUUCACUAUGUGGUUCGCUUUUGAUAAAUUAGUUCAUCACUCUAACAAUGCUUACUGAGGAUAAUGUUCCAUGAAAAUAUUUUGAAUUCUAACUAAUUUCAAUUCAAACUGUUAUGAGAAGUUGGGAACAGGGCUGAGCAUAUCUUAUUAAAAAUUAAUCCAUUCUUGAUGGCUACAUUUCCCCUUCUGUCAUGUGGAUAUUUUUGUAGUUCAUAUCAAGAGGUAUAUCUAAUUACAUUCCUCAUAUCUUCUCCAUUCCUCACAAAAGUAUACCUAUUGCUAGACAAGAUUUUAUGUGGUUCUGUACAAGUCCUAAUAAAAGAAGUUGCAUUUACAAGCCCUUGUUGAUUUUAUAUGGUUGUGUACAAGUCCUCAGAUAAAAAAGUUACCUGUACAAGUUAGCAGCAGCAAAGGCGUUGUAACAAAUCCAUUUGUGCGUUUAUAUUUUCCUUCUUUUCAAAUUUGCAGUUUUGAGUUGUUGCUUUGCUUUAUCUUUUACUAUGAUCUCACAAGUCUUAUAUUAAUACUAAAUUAAUUGAGGACAUUAUGAAAAUCAUAAAGAGGACACACUCGAUCAGUAAAGCUGGAUAAAAUUCUUGUAAAAAUGGGUAUAUACACAUUCACCAGCUAGUCUUUUGUUUUUUCACUCAUAAUCAGUGUACUCGUACUAUGUUAAUGAUCCCUAUAUGUUUAAAUGGUACAAAAAAAAUAUUAAAAGAAUCUAGUUCCUAGGCCUCUUGCAGUUAGCGCUGAUUGGUGGUGCUGCUAGUUGUUAGAAUUUUUAUUAGGAAUGAAAAAACAAGAUCCAGCAAAGAACUGAAUAUUUGUUUGAAUGAAGUGCUAUUGUAGAAGCGAAGUUUCUAACUAUUUAAACAGACUAAACCACCCUUGGAACAAUUUCUAGAUCUAAAUCACUUUCUAAAUGCUGUCUCAGGUAAUGGAACAUGUUGCUGGAGUUCUUGCAGGCUUGUUAAAAGGUGGGGAUGAGUAACUGGUCAGUGAAUUCCGUAGUAAAGCAUUUUCGGAAGCCUUCACUAUUUCAAAAGAAGGAAAGGAAGAGAGUCUCAAGUUCAAAACAGUGACAUGAAAAGUCCCCCUUUGCCAGCGUUAAGCGGUGCUAACUACCAUGUUAACCAGUGUCUCCAUUAUCAUUCCCAUUUUCAUUUUUAUUUUGAAUUAUAGUAUCGAUCAAUUUCUGAGCUUUACCUAUGUCUAGAUUUUUUAUGUCCUUUUACUUUGUAUGCUCUGUGCAGGAAGACCUUCGUUAGCAUCUGCAGAUGUAGACCCCUCUGCUGCACCACAUCCUAAAUAGUAUAUGGAACCGUUAGUGAUUCGCAUUGCUGGGCUGUAAAAGAAUGCAAGGAAAGGAUAUAGUCGUGUGGUUAGGUAUAUGCACCGAUGGACCAGUUCACUAUUAAGACAAUUGUAAUUAAGUUAAUUGUCAUGGAGUGAUGGUCUAAACGGUGUUGUGAUGGUAUGAUAUUGUAAAUUAUAGUGCAAAUGCAAUCUUCGUUUCCGUUGGUUUUCAGCAACUCUUAUACUUGUAGCUUAUACACUUUUUCGACUUGUAUCCACUUUCAAUGAAUACAAUGGUUUUUGUGAUA